AAUUCGAUUAGUUUGAUCAUGGCUCAGGACGAACGCUGGCGGCGCGCUUAACACAUGCAAGUCGAGCGAGAACCAGUCCUUCGGGAUUGGGGAAAGCGGCGAACGGGUGAGUAACACGUGAGUAAUCCACCCUUGGUACCGGGAUAGCCCGAGGAAACUCGGAUUAAUACCGGAUAGUCCAACAGCCUUUCGGGGCGGUUGGAAAAGGUAGCUUCGGCCUCCGACCAAGGACGAGCUCGCGGCGGAUUAGCUUGUUGGCGGGGUAAUGGCCCACCAAGGCGACAAUCCGUAGCUGGUCUGAGAGGACGAUCAGCCACACUGGGACUGAGACACGGCCCAGACUCCUACGGGAGGCAGCAGUGGGGAAUCUUGCGCAAUGGGCGAAAGCCUGACGCAGCGACGCCGCGUGCGGGAAGAAGGCCUUCGGGUUGUAAACCGCUUUCAGGAGGGACGAAGCCACUCGGGUUAAUAGCCCAGAGGGUGACGGUACCUCCAGAAGAAGCCCCGGCUAACUACGUGCCAGCAGCCGCGGUAAUACGUAGGGGGCAAGCGUUGUCCGGAUUUAUUGGGCGUAAAGAGCGUGUAGGCGGCCAAAUAGGUCGGUUGUGAAAACUGGAGGCUUAACCUCCAGACGUCGACCGAAACC
rnacentral:rRNA from 1 species